GCUGGGCAUGGUGAUGCAUGCCUGCAGUCCCAGCUACUCAGGAGGCUGAGGUGGGAGGAUCCCUUGAGCCCAGAAGUUCAAGGCUGCAAUGAGCCUUUAAGGUGCCAUUGCACUCCAGCCUGGGCCACAGAGGGAGACCCUGUCUCUA
rfam:Pan troglodytes isolate Yerkes chimp pedigree #C0471 (Clint) chromosome 19, whole genome shotgun sequence.